GAGAGAGCCCUCUGUUCUUCCCCAUUCCUGUCGUGUCUGUUUCGGUUUCAGUAUCCAGUUCUUAGGGUGUGGUGACUGAGGAGCCCUCACUGACUCUUUCCUGAGGAGGGACAGUCACUCUCACCUGUGGCUCCAGCACCAGAGUGGUCACCAACAAUUUCUAUCCACACUGGAUGCAACAGAAGUCUGGCCAACUUUUUGAGACAUUGAUUUAUGAUGCAAGCAACAAACAUUCCUGAAUGACCACCUGAUUCUCAGACCUUCCUGGGAGCAAAGCUGCCCUGAGCCUCUGGGGGACCCAAUCCAUAGGCUAGACUGAGUACUACUCAAGCUACACGACAGUGGG
rnacentral:lncRNA from 1 species